GGUGAUGAGAAAAAAAAAGUUGUCUCAUCCAUGUUCUUCCCCCCCCCCCCUUUAGCCGUGACUUGAGAAAGAAAGAAAAGAAGAAGUUGGUUCUUCUUGGCCGUGAAUUGAAGGAGGAAGAAGAGGGGAAGUUCGGCCAAGGUGGUUCUUGGGAUUAAGUUCACGAGCUCAAGGAAUCAAUCUUGCAUAGCGGGAAGGCGAAUAUAAUUGAAUAGCCGUUUUGAAAUUGUUCAACAGUAUCCGAGGUAAGUUCUCAAGUGUUUGAACUUUACUUUAGUAUACUUGAAGAUUGUAUAAACUUAGUAGCGAGAAG